AGUGGCGGACGGGUGAGUAACGCGUGAGAAUCCCUUCAGGUCGGGGACAACAGAGGGAAACUUCUGCUAAUCCCGGAUGAGCCUUAGGGUAAAAAAUUUAUUGCCUGGAGAUGAGCUCGCGUCUGAUUAGCUAGUUGGUAAGGUAAAAGCUUACCAAGGCAACGAUCAGUAGCUGGUCUGAGAGGAUGAGCAGCCACACUGGGACUGAGACACGGCCCAGACUCCUACGGGAGGCAGCAGUGGGGAAUUUUCCGCAAUGGGCGAAAGCCUGACGGAGCAAGACCGCGUGGGGGAGGAAGGCUCUAGGGUUGUAAACCCCUUUUCUUUGGGAAGAACAAAAUGACGGUACCAAAGGAAUCAGCCUCGGCUAACUCCGUGCCAGCAGCCGCGGUAAUACGGAGGAGGCAAGCGUUAUCCGGAAUGAUUGGGCGUAAAGCGUCCGCAGGUGGCAAUGUAAGUCUGCUGUCAAAACCCAGGGCUCAACUCUGGUCAGGCAGUGGAAACUACAUAGCUAGAGUUCGGUAGGGGCAAAGGGAAUUCCCGGUGUAGCGGUGAAAUGCGUAGAGAUCGGGAAGAACAUCGGUGGCGAAAGCGCUUUGCUAGACCGAAACUGACACUCAGGGACGAAAGCUAGGGGAGCGAAUGGGAUUAGAUACCCC
rnacentral:rRNA from 1 species